rnacentral:rRNA from 1 species
GGACUACCCGGGUUUCUAAUCCUGUUUGCUCCCCUUGCUCUCGCGCCUCAGCGUCAGGUAUUAACUAGAAAACCGCUUUCGCCACCGGUGUUCUUCCACAUAUCUACGCAUUUCACCGCUACACGUGGAAUUCCGUUUUCUCCGUCAACCCUCUGAGGGAGGCAGUUUCAAAUGCAGCUCCAAAGUUGAGCUUUGGAAUUUCACAUCUGACUUACCCCUCCGCCUACGCGCCCUUUACGCCCAAUAAUUCCGAUUAAUGCUUGCACUCUCCGUAUUACCGCGGCUGCUGGCAC